UACGAAGGGGGCUAGCGUUGUUCGGAAUCACUGGGCGUAAAGCGCACGUAGGCGGCUUGUUAAGUCAGAGGUGAAAGCCUGGAGCUCAACUCCAGAACUGCCUUUGAUACUGGCAAGCUCGAGGAUAGCAGAGGUUGGUGGAACUCCGAGUGUAGAGGUGAAAUUCGUAGAGAUUCGGAAGAACACCAGUGGCGAAGGCGGCCAACUGGGCUAUUACUGACGCUGAGGUGCGAAAGAGUGGGGAGCAAACAGG
rnacentral:rRNA from 1 species